GUUAAAGUUAAAUAUUCCUCUCAUAUAUAAUGGGGAUAUGGCCCAUACGUUUCUACCCAAUUACCGUAAAUGAUUGGACUAUGAGAGAAAGUCGAUUUUGG
rfam:Bacillus sp. VT-16-70 Bacillus_obstructivus_contig244, whole genome shotgun sequence.